rnacentral:rRNA from 1 species
AGUGAACGCUGGCGGUAGGCCUAACACAUGCAAGUCGAACGGCAGCACAGUAAGAGCUUGCUCUUACGGGUGGCGAGUGGCGGACGGGUGAGGAAUACAUCGGAAUCUACUUUUUCGUGGGGGAUAACGUAGGGAAACUUACGCUAAUACCGCAUACGACCUACGGGUGAAAGCAGGGGAUCUUCGGACCUUGCGCGAUUGAAUGAGCCGAUGUCGGAUUAGCUAGUUGGCGGGGUAAAGGCCCACCAAGGCGACGAUCCGUAGCUGGUCUGAGAGGAUGAAAAGCAAAAGUGGAACGGAGACCGGGUCCAGACUACUAGGGGAGGCAGCAGGGGGGAAUAUUGGACAAGGGGAGCAAGCUUGACCCAGCCAUACGGCGUGGGAGAAAAAGGCUUGCGGGUGGUAAAGCCUUUUUGUGGGGAAAAAAAAGCAGCAGGUUAAUACCCCGCUGUUCUGACGGUACCAAAAAAAUAAGCACCGGCUAACUUCGUG